UGGAUACGCCCCAGUGUCUGUGAAGAGCCUACAUUUCAUGUUUUGACGUGCAGCUGUCAGUCACAAACACAGUCAGUUAUUUUCCAGGACAAACCCCAAUUUUAACUGCAACCAUAAAACAACCCCAUUUCAGAACAUGAGACUUUCGCGCAGCUCUAACACACCCACAUUUGUCAUCUCGACCCCUUAUAAAUACAGACAGAACACACAGAUCAGACACGGAUCAUUUGAAAUUCUGCUCCAGGAAAGUACUUUUUACUGCACUCAUCACCAAGACAAGCCAAAAUGAGUGACAAAAAGGGCGGGAAGGGACCCGAUGUGAAAGGACCUGACGCAGCCGGAGAGGGAAAAGGAAAGGGGUGUGGAAAGGCGGGAGAACAUGGAAAAGACCAUCCAAAAGAUCAUGGAAAAGAGCAUGGAAAAGGUGCACCGGCUAAACCAGAAGAAAAGAAAGGAGGUCAUGGUCACGGUCCUGCUAAAUGAUGAAGAACCCCUUGAAUCAACAUUCUGUAAUAAUGAUUGUAAAGAAUUAAAUAUAUAAUCUUUAAUAAACUAAUCCAGAAAAAGGCAA